rnacentral:rRNA from 1 species
UACGUAUGGCGCAAGCGUUAUCCGGAUUUACUGGGUGUAAAGGGAGCGCAGGCGGUGCGGCAAGUCUGAUGUGAAAGCCCGGGGCUCAACCCCGGUACUGCAUUGGAAACUGUCGUACUAGAGUGUCGGAGGGGUAAGCGGAAUUCCUAGUGUAGCGGUGAAAUGCGUAGAUAUUAGGAGGAACACCAGUGGCGAAGGCGGCUUACUGGACGAUAACUGACGCUGAGGCUCGAAAGCGUGGGGAGCAAACAGG